GUGAAACUGGAGAGUGGCUCACUCUCAGGGACUUUGAAAUCAGAGGAGGCCAUGAAAAAUCCAAGAACUGAAAGAAAAGCAUACAAUGCUAUGGAUGGACCCUGGGAUACUUGAUAGAGGAAGGAUCUCUACCAAACCCACUAAGGACGAAGGAAAAGAACAGCAAGCUCAACCAUCUUGAAGUCACAGUAGGAAUCCAAUCUGUGAAGACUUUGAAAAGAAAUUUUUCAACCAAUGAUACAAACCAACA